AUGUCCAAACAACUUUGCAGGUUUUGUGAGUAUGGAAGACAUUCUUAAGAGAUAGAUGGAUGGUAACUCAGAUAAUACAACACAACUGAGCGUCAACCUUCUUCCAUAAAGGACGAUCGACGAUUUGAACAUCUUCUUUAGUUUGAGUGAGAUGUGUCUUAUAACCCUGUCCAAUAAGCCAAAGCUCAAUGUGAGAUGCCCAAGAGAUAUAAUUUUUACCAUCCAACUGCUCGGAAGAGAGAGGUGCAGUGAUGUGGUAAGCAAAGAUUGAGGUAUCCGGCUUUGGGACGCCAGAUGUAGCCAUUGAUUAGUUUGGAAAGAACUGUGAAGAAAGGCUCUUGAUUGCGGGAGAAAACAGUGCCGGAAGGAUCGUGGUUGUACCCGAGUCUCCGGUGAACAGGAUGUGGCUGAGGAAGCAGGAGAAGUUAGUGGUGUACUCUUGAUUCGGCAGUUGGAACAACCUCACGGGCGAGCAACUACGGAAGGUGGUGUGAGGGUUGGUGUCGCCGAUCCUCGAGACGGCGGCUACAGAACAGCGACGACGCAUCUGCGUGCGAAGAACAUCGGAGGAGAGGGCGUAACCCUUCUCGGAGGAGAAAGGAAGAAGAAGUGGUGCAGGAGGUGCUGUUCAGUGCCCUAGCAGAAAAUUGCGAGGAAGCCGCGAUGCUGUGUUUUCCUGGUUGUAAGAGACGCCCUGGUUGUACUUCUUGGUGAGUUGGGCAUCGACGGGGAAGAGAGGGGGAGGACGACGUUGGCCACCUGCGGGACAAGGGACUCACCAGAGAAGACGCAAAUGAUACGCUCUAUUGGAACAAGGGAAAGAAAAUUAAGGUUUUGGUGAACGGCACUGUGCGUGCGCGAGAGGAACGAUGAUGCAGAAAAUUAGGGUUUUGCCUCUGAUACCAUGUUAAAAAGAGAAACCCGUGUCUUAGACACUACGGAGUUAUUGUGUUAUAUAGAGGAGAAUAUACAACAUAAUUACAAUAAUCCCCCUAGUUAUGUUACAAUAUUCCAAUAGUUUCUAUAAAGAUACAAUGUACCUCAUUUAUGUAAAUUUUGGCGGGGUAUCUCAAAGAUUGAACCCAGCAGAGACUUCCAGAAUAUAGUGGAGAUCAAGACGCCUGAGCAAAUUGAGCGAAUGAGAGAAACAUGCCGGAUUGCAAGAGAGGUUU